rnacentral:rRNA from 1 species
AUUGAACGCUGGCGGCAUGCUUUACACAUGCAAGUCGAACGGUAACGGGCCUUCGGGUGCUGACGAGUGGCGAACGGGUGCGUAAUGCAUCGGAACGUACCCAGAGGUGGGGGAUAACGCAGCGAAAGCUGUGCUAAUACCGCAUGUGAUCUGAGGAUGAAAGCGGGGGACCGCGCAGCAAUGUUUGGCCUCGCGCCUUUGGAGCGGCCGAUGUCGGAUUAGCUAGUUGGUGGGGUAAAGGCCUACCAAGGCGACGAUCCGUAGCUGGUCUGAGAGGACGACCGGCCACACUGGGACUGAGACACGGCCCAGACUCCUACGGGAGGCAGCAGUGGGGAAUUUUGGACAAUGGGCGCAAGCCUGAUCCAGCAAUGCCGCGUGCGUGAAGAAGGCCUUCGGGUUGUAAACCGCUUUUGGCAGGAACGAAACGGUGUCCGCUAAUACCGGGCGCUAAUGACGGUACCUGCAGAAUAAGCACCGGCUAACUACGUG